rnacentral:misc_RNA from 1 species
GUGAAUUUUAGGGUGCUCUCUUUUAACAAGAGAGGCCUGACCUCCACUCUCCAACACUGUGCACUAUUUGGCAAAUCAAAUGAAGUACCUCGGAAGGGGGCGGAUUAUGAUUUGCGGCUUCAUCUUUAACACUAGUAAAAGAAUGUAACAAAAACCAUAACAAAAAA